AGACGUUUUUUUAACCCGGGUAACAGGUGAGGACGGGUCAUAAACGCUCGGGGUCAUUGACAGAUCCAGAGGUAGAGGCAAACUCUGUCUCGCUAGCUGGAGUUCUUCAUACUGCUGCAUGUUACCCAGGAGCCAAGUGUGGGUUGAGGAGCUCUCCAAGUGCCGGCCGGCCAAUCACGCUCACAGACCUGCCGGGUCCCACAGACCACUGCAGCAAACGCAGCAGACGACUCCAGCAACAAACGGCAGAGGAAACAGGAAACAGCUGAAGGAGUUCUGUACCGCUAUUCUGUUAAUGCUAAUGCUGAAACAUUUUAACUUAAAUAAAGAGACAGCUGAUG